AUUGAACGCUGGCGGCAUGCCUUACACAUGCAAGUCGAACGGUAACAGGUCUUCGGAUGCUGACGAGUGGCGAACGGGUGAGUAAUACAUCGGAACGUGCCCAGACGUGGGGGAUAACGAGGCGAAAGCUUUGCUAAUACCGCAUACGAUCUAAGGAUGAAAGCAGGGGACCGCAAGGCCUUGCGCGUUUGGAGCGGCCGAUGGCAGAUUAGGUAGUUGGUGGGAUAAAAGCUUACCAAGCCGACGAUCUGUAGCUGGUCUGAGAGGACGACCAGCCACACUGGGACUGAGACACGGCCCAGACUCCUACGGGAGGCAGCAGUGGGGAAUUUUGGACAAUGGGCGAAAGCCUGAUCCAGCAAUGCCGCGUGCAGGAUGAAGGCCUUCGGGUUGUAAACUGCUUUUGUACGGAACGAAAAGGCUCUGGCUAAUACCUGGGGCACAUGACGGUACCGUAAGAAUAAGCACCGGCUAACUACAUG
rnacentral:rRNA from 1 species